rnacentral:tRNA from 1 species
GCACCGAUAGCUCAGAGGUAGAGCACCCAACCGGUAAUUGGUACGUCGUGGGUUCGAUUCCUGUUUGCG